UGUUAUGCUUUUGCUUUAUGGUUAAUUGGGACGCGCUUUGAAUUUCGCAACCGCUGCGUGCGCCGUACUUUCUCUGACUGAAACUGAAAAUCGCAAAAGCUGCCAGACCAGAACACGAAACACGAACAGAACAGAACAGAGCAGAACCUGCUGAGAGCAAGAGUGUGUGCUCUCUGUACGUAUGUGUGUGAGAGAACAGGCGAAUAAGCUGCACAAUGAAAGUGAAAACCGUUCGCCGACAUCGCUGUUUCUACUGCACUGCAAAGUGGGCCCGUCUGAGCGAGAUAGAGACAGACAGCGAGAGCGCCAAAACUAAGAGAGCGCUCCAUUAGUGAGAGAGCGCCACUUGUGAGCGAACGCAGCGAAGUACUCUAGUCACGUUUCAAAUGUCAAGAAUGAUGCAUAGCUGACUUCCGCAAACGGCAGAUCGUCACAGUCGCCGUAAUAGUUUGACCCCAAACAAAAGCCGCAAUCAAAAUAUGUGUGACACAUGUGUGUGUUCUACAUAGAAGUCGCAGCCAUGUGGAAAUAAAACACAACAAAUGUAUUGACCUUAACACUGAAUGCUCAUUGCUCGCCAUCCACACA